rnacentral:rRNA from 1 species
CGCUGGCGGCGUGCUUAACACAUGCAAGUCGAACGAUGAACCUGGAGCUUGCUCUGGGGGAUUAGUGGCGAACGGGUGAGUAACACGUGAGUAACCUGCCCUGGACUCUGGGAUAACCCCGAGAAAUCGGAGCUAAUACCGGAUAGGACCUGGAACCGCAUGGUUUUGGGUGGAAAGUUUUUUCGGUCUGGGAUGGACUCGCGGCCUAUCAGCUUGUUGGUGAGGUAAUGGCUCACCAAGGCGUCGACGGGUAGCCGGCCUGAGAGGGUGACCGGCCACACUGGGACUGAGACACGGCCCAGACUCCUACGGGAGGCAGCAGUGGGGAAUAUUGCACAAUGGGCGCAAGCCUGAUGCAGCAACGCCGCGUGAGGGAUGACGGCCUUCGGGUUGUAAACCUCUUUUAGUAGGGAAGAAGGGCUUCGGCUUGACGGUACCUGCAGAAAAAGCACCGGCU